AAUGGUCUAUAAGUGAAAUAUGGCAUAAAUAAAUAAUGUCGCUUUAUUUAAGACAGCUGUAUAUAUAAUAUUGCUAUUUUAUGACUAAAAUUUUACUAAAAUUAAGUACACAAUAUACAUAGCACUGUGUUUUUCUAAGAUGGCGGCUAUCUUACCACCGAUAAUUCCCCACGAAUAAGGUUUUCUCCUGCAUGUACUGUGAUUGUAUCUAUACAAUGGUAAGAAGUGAAAGCUUCUAUUCGUAAUUUUUUUAAAAGUAGACGAUGGAUCAGGAAAACGUGGAUGUGAAAUCAUGCGUUGAAACGAAAACGAUUAAAAAUGUGCCUAUUUGGAUGUUAUUAACAUUUCUUUCGGUAACUGUUGCUACUGCUGUGUUGUUAGAAAUUGGAGUUUCGGAUUAUAAAUUAUGGAAAACAGAGAAAAUUAAUGUGUCAGCGUCCAUUAAUACAUCGUUAAACAAUUAUCACAAAUUUGCAGUUUAUCCCACCAUUAAAUCAUCAGAUAUCCAUCUUCAUCAUGUACUAGAAAUUUUAGGCCAAAUGGGAUAUAAACAAACAGCUAUAAAUGAGGACGAUUGGGAUUUUCUUUGGGCACAUGAGUACCCUUUUAAUAAAAUGGGAACAAGGAUGAGAAAUAUAUUGCCAUAUCAAACUGUAAAUCAUUUUCCUGGUAUAGGAUUCAUUACCAGCAAAGUUGAUCUAUCAACUGCAUCAUUGCCAUUUAUGCCUAAAGCAUUCCGCUUGCCAGAACAGAAGGAUGAAUUUUUACAAUAUGCUAGGGAUAAUCCAGAUUCAAUAUUUGUCGAGAAAGACAAUCAACAUCGAUCUAUUAAAAUUCGACCUCCUAAAGCAAUAAACUUGAAUGCUUCUAAUAGUUUUGUGCAAGAAUAUGUUCAGAAUCCAUUUUUGGUAGAUGGUCAUAAAUUCGAUAUUGGAGUUUAUAUAGUUUUGACAUCAAUUGAACCAUUGAUAAUAUAUAUGUAUACUGGAGACGUAUUGUUUCGUUACUGCCCUGAUAAAUAUUAUCCAUUUGAUGAUACUAAUGUUAAUCAAUACGUUGUUGGAAAUGACUAUCUACCUACGUGGGAAGUUUCUUCUUUGAGAAAAUAUUUUGAAAGCUUUCGGGGAGGUAUGCGCUCAUCUUUCGAUGCAUAUGUACGAGAUCAAUCUUUAGAUCCAUCUGUAAUUUGGUUACAAGUUGAAGAGAUUGUGCGUCUGACUAUUUUAUCUAAAAUAAAAAACAUUGCAAUAGCUAUGCAACCCUUUAAAAAUGGGAAGUAUUUUGAACUACUUCGUUUUGAUUUAAUUGUUGAUGAAAAGUUUCGUGUUCAUCUCAUGGAGGUUAAUAUGUCACCUAAUCUUUCUUCAGUACAUUUCAAACCUAAUGCACUUUUAUAUCAACAAAUUUUAUACAACGUUUUAAACUUAGUAGGGGUUGGAUCACCUAUUCGAACAGAUAAAAGAUUUUUUGAUGAAGAAGAAACAAUAACAUCAGAUAAAAAUGUUGCCGUAAAUCUUAAUGAUUGUGCCAAAUAUACCUGUUAUAAGUCUUGCAAUAAACCAGAGUGUGAUUUAUGUCUAUCCUGCUUGAAAGCUUCAGAAGUAAAUAUAUUAAGAAAGGCGCAUUAUGAACAUUUGCAUAAAAUGGAAAUGAAGAGAAUAUUCCCGAAAACAAUAGCUGAUCCGGACCGCUUAAAUAUACAAGAAGAAACAGAAAAUCUUUCAAUAAGGAAUGCGUGGCUCACGCGAUGGUUCCAUCAAAAAUGUAAAGACGACCGAAGUUGGUGUUAGUUAAGAGACGGUUAGUGCGGGAUAGUCAAUAUUUAAUGUUAUUGCAGUAUAAAAUACUUUAGUUGUAUAGCUGAAACACGUCCAGUAGUGAAAACGAAACAAAAAUUUCAGACAAUAUAAUUGAUCAAAUUUGUUGAUAAAGGUCGAUAAAACAGUUUUACGCUGUACAAUAAGGACAUCAAAAUGUUUAGAAGGCAACAUACUCAACAGAUCUCACGAAUUUCUGCAAACGUGGAACACGGAGCUUCUGAGCUCAUAUCCAUUUAUUACACGCCAAAGAAAAGUCUCAAAAUAAGAAAUCCUAUUAUAAAUAUUAUUACUUUUUCUUUUUGUGUUAAAGAUCUUAUUACAAUAAUAAAAGCACAAACCCAACGAUUAAAUUAGUUUUUUUGAUGCUAAAUAGUGAGUCUGAUAGACCAAAUGUGCUAGAGUGAGAAUUAAAAGUUUGCCUUAUGCGGCGGAAUUGUUCAUUUAACUCAAAAUUUGUUCUGUUCUUGUUGUUUAACCUGUCUAGAUGAACAGGGAUUUUAAAAGUAAUAUUAAACAAGAGGAAUAUAAGGAUCCAUUCAUAAGUUUUGCCAGGAAUAUUAUGCCAAACUUUUCCGCACGACUAAUCUUAAUAUAUAAAAAUCACGUGUCACGUUGUUUGUUUUCGAUGGACUCCUAAACUACUGAACCGAUUUUAAUGAAAUUUUUAACACUGUUGGUGGCGCUAAGUGCGCUAUGUUACAAUAGAUGGCGCUACAUUUAUUUCUAAAUUUUCAUGGAUUUAGGCUGUCAUAACAAAAGCUGCCACUUGCUAAAAACAUUAAAUGAAAAUGCGUUGUUUGAAGUUUAUAUUAUUUGGAUGUGAGUACAUUCAUUUGAAUAUUUGUACGUUAGUUUGUGGUUUGUCUUAGUUUUCUAGCGCUUUUGGAUACAUAUUUAUGCAUUUGUGUAUUCAUUUAUACGUGUGUGUAUAUAUGUGUGUUUUUUUCAUAAAAAUAUUUCAUUUUCAAUAUAUGUUCUAUUGUGUGUAGAUAAAAUUUGUCAGUACGUUUAUACUUUUUCUGUAGUUGGCUUUGUAUAUUUUUACAUUACCGCAAGUGUUUGAAUAUAUUUACGAUUGUAUGUAUAUUUACUCAUUUGUUGGUUUGUGGGUGCAUAUCAUAGCUGGCUUUUGAAAAUUUUUACAUUGCGGCAGAUGUUUGUUUAUAUACGUGUAGUUGAUUGUAUUUUUUUAAAUUUGAAUUUGUUUUUGUGAAAAAAAUUUGUUUGAGCAAGUGUUUUUUGUGUGACGUAAUGGUUGGCGAUCCUGUUGAAAAUCGAUCAGUAAAAAUCACACAGCAGGACAAUACUCUCAGCAUUAUUUCAGAUCUACAUCGCUCAUUUGACACACUUCAAUAUUUUCUAAUAUUUUGACAAUGACAGGACGAAUAUCAUAUAAAUAUAUGAAUUUUAAUACAAACUAUACAUUUUAUAACUAUAUUCCUAGGUAAUAAUUUAAAUGUAUUAAAAAAUAAAAUAUAUAUAUAUAUAUAUAUAUAUAUAUAUAAAUUAUUCACAGCAAAGCGUGCCCGGGUUUACUAGUAGAUUUAUAAGUUUUAAACGAUUACUGUAUGGAGGAAAAUUUAACCUAGAAUGCCAAUGCAAAUGCCCUAAGGCAAAAGUUUAACAACUCAAUUGCGUAAAGCUACUGACGAAUAAUCGCCAUUGUAGUAGCCUGGCUACUGAGUCUAGAUUUUUUAUUACGAUAAGCUAUUUAUCUCAGUUGCCAAGAAUGCGCAGAUAACAGCCCUGAGUUUACAUUUUUGACAAUUAUUUUGUAAGUAUUUGGCAGCAUUGUUCAAAUGUGAGUGACAAUUUGUGCAGUUAAAAUUACAAAUACGUGAACAAAAAUAAUUCAUUUGAAUUAAAAUAAAACAAUUAAUAUGUUGAGUAGUGAAUGAAUUAUUUUUAAUGAGUCGGGAGGAAAGCGCAAAUGUUGCAUUAAUUCGACGGCAAAUUAGAGAUCGUUCCAAUCCUUUGGAUUUUCCACUUGUGAAAAGCAUUUACAUACUAUUUACAUAGACGAGUUAUCUCCGCAUUUUAAACCCAACUACCGGCCAACUUCUGUCCCUCCAAUUUUAAAGCUCUGCGCACCGCUACGAUUCUUUGCAGAAGGUAGCUACCAGAAAUGCCAAGAGAAUGAUUUCAACACAGGAAUAUUACAAUCCACAAUGUCAAUGAUUCUGACAGAAGUGACAACCUUGAUUCAACAAAAAAAUAUAUAAACUGGAUUCCCUGGUGUAAUAGGAUGUGUGGAUGGGACACAUGUGCACAAUUCACUACCUAAAAGGAACUUCAACAUCUACAUACUUAUAUAUUAAUAGAAAGGGUUAUUACAGCAUAAAUGCGUUAAUGGUUUGCGAUUACAAAAGGAAUAUCACUUUUGUCGAUGUCAGAUAUCCUGGACCCUCACACGAUGCCUUUAUUUGGAAUAGCAGCACAUUAAAACAACUUAUUUCCAAUAAUGCAGGUGAAAACACAUGGCUUUUAGGCGAUGCUGUAUUACCUCUGGAAACAUUUCUCAUGACUCCGUAUCGAGCUGCUGAAAGUGGAACUCCAGAGAGUCGAUACAAUAAAGUUCGUUAUUGAAUAACAAGAACGAAAUCGGACCAUUACUACUACCUUGCUCACAUUUUCACGCAACAAAAGUUACCAACUGACGUCAUUAGCAUUGUAUAGAGAAGUAGAGAAACUCCAGAAACCCACCUCCAGAAACUACUUUUGACAUUUAAGCUAAUUCAUAUUCCCCAAAAAGGGUUUCGCAUAAUUAAAAAUUUGUGUAUUAUUGUUUAUUACUAUUCGAAUUUUUGAUAUUAUUAUGAUGUUAUUUAGUAUUACGAAAUUUAAUUAUAUUAAUUCCUGAUAGGGAUGAAUACCCAACAUAAAUAUUUGAAAAUGUUUUAUUCAAUUGAAACGAGAAGAUUUAUUUUACUAUAAGUGGGUUUCUCGAAAUAGCAUUGUAAUGCGAUAUGGUACUAAAAGUUAGCAGUCUUUAAACAGUAUUAUAAUUUAAUUAUUUCGAAGUAUUUAUAGACACAAUUGGGAAUUGAAAAUACAAUUUAUACAUAAGUAAAUAUGAAUAUGGGGAUGGGAUCAUAUGUAGAAGUUCACGCAAGUGAGGAAAGUUUCUGAUUGCCAUUCACUUGGGAGUGGCCAGGAACGAUUCUUUUACAUAUGACUCAAGCAGCUCACGACUUCCGGUUUUAGACCAAGUAUCCCCUGGGUAGUAUCCCGUUUGAAGGCGAAGCCCGCUUCUGCGGUUGUGCGUAGGAUUUGGGACCCACCACAUAAAAAAACCUCCCCAAUGAAAAAACAAUCAGAGCCUCGGAAGAGAAACCCCCCUUUUGAUGACGACCUCUGCAAACGUACUAAGGAUCAUGAUUUGAGGGCAUGCACCUGGAAUGUCCGGACCCUUAAUUGGGAAGGUGCCUCUGCCCAGCUGGUUGAUGUCCUCAUAAGACUCAAGGCUGACAACACCGCCAUCCAAAAAGUGCGAUGGACGGGACAAGGACGGAAGAAGGUGGGUCCUUGUGACAUCUACUACAGCGGCCAUAUAAAGUAGCGCAAAUUUGGUGUUGGAUUUGUGGUGGGAGAGAGACUCCGUCGCAGAGUCCUGGCAUUCACCCCGGUGGAUGAACGUCUUGCCACAAUCCGCAUCAAAGCGAGGUUCUUCAACAUAUCGCUGAUUUGCGCCCACGCCCCAACGGAAGAGAAGGACGAUGUGACCAAAGAUGCUUUCUAUGAGCGCCUAGAACGCACCUAUGAGCGCUGCCCCCGCCACGAUGUAAAAGUCGUGCUUGGCGAUUUUAACGCCAGGGUGGGUAAGAAGGUGUCUUUGGCACAACAGUCGGAAAAUUCAGCCUCCAUGACGAAACAUCGCCAAACGGCCUGAGGCUGAUCGACUUCGCUGGGGCCCGAAAUAUGGUCGUCUGUAGUACCGGAUUCCAGCAUAAGAAAAUACAUCAAGCUACUUGGCUGUCUCCUGAUCGAAACACGCGGAACCAAAUCGAUCACGUUGUGAUAGACGGAAGACAUGUCUCCUGUGUUUUAGACGUGCGUACGCUCCGAGGACCAAAUAUAGACUCGGACCAUUAUCUGGUCGCAGCGAAGAUACGCACCCGCCUCUGUGCAGCAAAGAAUGCCCGUCAACAAACUCAAGGAAGGUUCGACGUCGAAAAGCUGCAAUCGCAACAGACAGCCACGAAAUACUCUACUCGACUUGCACUCCUGCUCUCUGAGAGCACUCAUCAGCAUCUCAAAAAACAAGCUGGUACGAUGGGGAGUGCCGUCGCGCAGCGGAGAGAAAACAGACUGCCUACCUCGCAACGUUGCAAACGACCACAACACGUGCGGGAUGGGAUAGAUACCGAGAGCUGAAGAGGGAAGCGAGACACAUUUGCAGACAAAAAAAGAAAGAGGCCGAAAUGCGUGAGUACGAAGAGCUUGAGAAGCUGGCAGACAGAGGUAAUGCUUGAAAAUGGUAUGAAAAAAUGAAGCGACUUAACGAAAGUUUCAAGAGCGAAGCAUCCUCAUGUAGAGACCAAGGUGGCAGUGAGAGUACAACACCAGGAGAUGGCGAACCCGAUCCCACAAUCGAUGGCGAUGGAACAGAUGUUCCAUUACCCGACCAUGAAGAAAUCCGAAUAGCAAUUUCCCGCUUGAAAAACAACAAAGCAGCGGGGGCCGAUAGAUUACCGGCAGAACUAUUCAAAUACGGCGGCGAAGAACUGAUAAGGUGCAUGCAUCAGCUUCUUUGCAGAAUAUGGUCGGAAGAAAGCAUGACUGACGAUUGGAAUCUCAGUGUGCUCUGCCCAAUCCAUAAAAAGGGAGAUCCCACAAUCUGCGCCAAUUACCGUGUGAUCAGCUUCCUAAAUAUCGCCUAUAAGGUUCAAUCGAGCGUACUGUGUGAAAGACUAAAGCCCACCGUCAACGAACUGAUUGGACCUUAUCAGUGUGGCUUUAGACCUGGAAAAUCGACAACUGUCCAGAUAUUCAAAAUGCGCCAAAUUUUGGAGAAGACCCGAGAGAGAAGAAUCGAUACUCACCACCUUUUUGUCGAUUUUAAAGCUGCUUUCGACAGCACGAAAAGGAGCUGCCUUUAUGCCGCGAUGUCUGAAUUUGGUAUCCACGCAAAACUAAUACGGCUGUGUAAGUUGACGUUGAGCAGCACCAAAAGCUCCGUCAUGAUUGGGAAGGACCUCUCCGAGCCGUUCGAUACCAAACGAGGUUUCAGACAAGGUGACUCACUUUCGUGCGACUUCUUUAACCUGAUGCUGGAAAAAUAAGAGCUGCAGAGCUAAAUAGAGAAGGUACAAUCUUCUACAAGAGUGUACAGCUCCUGGCGUACGCAAAUGAUAUGGAUAUCAUCGGAAGCAACAACCGCGCCGUUUGUUCUGCUUUUUCCCGCAUGGAUAAAGAGGCGAAGCGAAUGGGUCUAGACGUGAAUGAGGACAAGACGAAAUAUCUCCUGUCAUCAAGCAAGCACUCGCGUCUUGGCUCCCACGUCACUGUUGACAGUCAUAACUUCGAGGUCGUAGAUAAUUUCGUAUACUUGGGAACCAGCAUCAACAACACGAACAAUGUCAGCUACGAAAUCCCGCGCAUAAUAACUCUUGCCAACAGGUGCUACUUUGGACUGAGUAGGCAAUUGAACAGUAAAGUCCUCUCUCGACGAACCAAAUUCAAGCUCUACAAGUCGCUUAUCACCGUCCUGCUUUACGGUGCAGAAGCUUGGACGAUGUCAACAUCAGAUGAGACGACACUAGGAGUUUUCGAGUGGAAAAUUUUGCGCAAGAUUUAUGGUCCUCAGAACAUUGGCAACGACGAAUACCGCAGACGAUGGAACGAUGAGCUGUACGAGUUAUACGAAGACAUUGACAUAGUUCAGUGAAUAAAAAGACAGCGGCUACGCUGGCUAGGUCAUGUUGUCCGAAUGGACGAAAACACUCCAGCCCUGAAAGUGUUCGAUGCAGUACCCGCCGGAGGAAGCCGAGGAAGGGGAAGGCCUCCACUCCGUUGGAGGGACCAGGUGGAGAGCGACCUGGUUACACUUGGGAUCUCCAACUGGCGCCGAACUGCGAAGGAGAGAGAGAAGUGGCGCUAUAACCGGCUAAACGGUUGCAACGCCAAUCACAUACAUACAGAUACCCAUCUUUUUUACAUUGUCAAAGCGUUGCGAUAUACUAUGCGCCUUAAAACUCUCGCAGAUGUGUAUUUUAUGAUUGUUGCUGGAACAUACCGAACAAAGCGAAUUGGAACAAGAAAAUUAAUAGCCCUUACGUGAAGGUUUUGCUCUAUGCGCUUUGGUUUACGUAUCCAACCGUGUGAGCGUUAUCAUUGGAGUCGUGUUAUUGUCUCUCCAAAUGAUGAAUGCAAUCAGCCCAGCUUGGCAGAUGCUUUAUCUAGUAAACUUUUGAACUGACCACCAUUUGGUUUAGAAAUGGACGAAAGCUCAAAUAACGACGAAAUAUUUUCUAAAAAUAUGAGAUGUAAAAAAAUUUUGAUAUUCAGAGUACUUGCCGAGGGGAGUUAAAGUUUAGGCAGCUUCGAUCCUGCUUGCAUUACACAAGUGGUGUCAAGUCUGAAUAAUUAACUUUGUUGUAAAAUACAGCUCCUCAAGAUCCAUACGGCCGCAAUCCUCUGAAUCUAUCCUUUCGAUUUCCAUAAAUAAAUUCUUGAAGUAUGAUUCAAGAAUACCAAGACGACUUUUGAACUCGGAUGAUGAAAGUAUUUAGCACCCGGCUUUAGACUGGCCUCCACAGUAUUUUUAUACGAGAAAUAUUGCUGUUUUAAGCUCUUACAAAGACAUUUAAAGAGAAAUUUAAUGAAAAUUGUUUGGAAAAAUGUGAUUUAUAUAUUAGUGGUACUCAUUUAACGUCGUAAAGGUAUGGCAACAUCGCAAAAUUACAAUAUCGUAAAACAGCUGUUAAUUUUUACUUGCAUUUUAUUUUACGACUAUCUUGCAAAUAAAGUCCAAUAGAAUAAUGAAUAUCAUCACAUAUAUUAUAUGAGGGCUGAAAUAGUUCCUGAACCGAUUUCACUCAUUUUCAUCACCAAGGUACAUUAUAUCCCAUACUAUACGUUCACUUAAUUUUGCUAAGAUAUGUUUCUCAAAUAUUUACCGAUAUAUGCGGAAAAACGCCUUUUUGAAAAACCUAUAAUUUGGUAUAUGGCAGCUAGGGGAAGUUAUGACCCGAUUUUAAUUUUUGGUACAGAAACACACUUUUAGAAGAAACAUGUUUCCUCUGAAUUACAUUAAAAUAUACAGUGUGUGAUACUCAAAAUGACCCACCUGUGAAAAGUUUACAAAACAAGAGUAGUAGUAGUAAUAGUAGAGUGGUAUUGGUAGCCAAUAGAAUUUGUAUUCUUCUACAAAAAUUACGUUUUGCCAAACGAUUCGAUUUUCAUCAGUAUAGCGUUUUAUUAUAUUUUUAAUAGUGCCGCGUGGUCUUUUAACCAUAUCUGCUUUUAUUCUUUGUCUUUUACCCUUUUAUAAUGUUGUUGUUUUAAAUUUCGUAUUUCAUUUGUGGUUUGAGGAGUAAGUUUACGAAAACUCACAAUAUCUUACAUUUUCAAAAUCGUAAAUAGAACAUAUAGAUCGAUAUAAUAGUAAAUGUGGUUUUAGUAAAAUAUCGUUUUUGAGUUGCUUUCAAUGACUGGACCAUUUUGAGUGGCGCGUCAUUUUUCGUUGUGUUUUUAUGUUUUCUUGUAAAUAUUGAAAAUAUAUCGUUCUCAUUUAAUAAUUCAUUUGAUUUUUUUUCUUGGUUACAAAUUAAGCUUAGAGAAAAAUAAUAAAAAUUCAAAUUAAAUAACAAAGGCCUGGUGUUACAACAUGUUUCAAAACUUGGGUCGGCUUUAGUAUAGUAUCCCCUGAUUUCAUGGUUGAAAUGGGUAUGGUUAUAAAGAGCCUCCUCUCCUCUCCUAUAGGCGUCCUAUCUCCAGAUUACGAAUUAAUAUAAUUGUUUUUGAGAUAUUCGCAUUUUAAGUUAAAAAUUAAAAUUAAAAAAAAAAAAAAAAAAAAAUCAUGUUGCGAUUUUUCGAUUAUUAGUUAAUUUUCAAUUUAUAUAAUGCGCUUAUUAUACACUAACACUUCACUAAAUUGUUUCCAUAAAUUUAUUUUAUAUCAAUUAGUAUAAUAUUUGCUUUAAAUAAACAUUUUAAUUUUUACUCAAUUUUGUUUAUAUGCACCAUAACCAUGUUAUAUUUAGCACAAUCAUUAAGAUUUAAGAGGAUUUGAUCAUGUUUGAAGUUCACGUAAGUGAGGAAAGUUUUUUAUUGUCAUUCACUUGGGAGUGGCCAGAAACGAUUCUUCUCCACAUGAUUCAAGCAGCAAGGUUUCUUUCGCACAACAGUAGGAAAAUUCAGCAUCCAUGACGAAACAUCGCCAAACGGCCUGAGGCUGAUCGACUUCGCUGUGGCCCAAAAUAUGGUUGUCAAUACGCGUAUACGCGUCAACGCAUAGAACGCACUUAUGAGCGCUGCCCCCUGAUCGAAACACGCGCAAUCAAAUCGAUCACGUUGUGAUAGACGGAAGACAUGUCUCCUGUGUUUUAGAUGUGCGCACGCUCCGAGGACCAAAUAUAGACUCGGACCAUUAUCUAGUUGCAACGAAGAUACGCACUUGCCUUUGUGCAGCAAAAAACGCCCGUCAACAAACACAAGGAAGGUUCGACGUCGAGAAGCUGCAAUCGCAACAGACAGCCACGAAAUACUCUACUCGACUUGCACUCCUGCUCUCUGAGAGCACUUAUCAGCAUCUCAAUAUAAGGGAGCUGUAGAACGGCAUCUCAAACUCACUGCGUACCGCUGCAGCCGAAACAAUUGGCGGCGAAGAACUGAUAAGGUGCAUGCAUCAGCUUCUUUGCAGAAUAUGGUCGGAAGAAAACAUGACUGACGAUUGGAAUCUCAGUGUGCUCUGCCCAAUCCAUAAAAAGGGAGAUCCCACAAUCUGCGCCAAUUACCGUGUGAUCAGCUUCCUAAAUAUCGCAUACAAAGUUCUAUCGAGCGUACUGUGUGAAAGACUAAAGCCCACCGUCAACAAACUGAUUGGACCUUAUCAGUGUGGCUUUAGACCUGGAAAAUCGACAACUGACCAGAUAUUCAAAAUGCGCCAAAUUUUGGAGAAGACCCGUGAAAAGAGGAUCGACACACACCACCUUUUUGUCGAUUUUAAAGCUGCUUUCGACAGCACGAAAAGGAGCUGCCUUUACGCCGCGAUGUCUCAAUUUGGUAUCCCCGCAAAACUAAUACGGCUGUGUAAAUUGACGUUGAGCAACACCAAAAGCUCCGUCAUGAUUGGGAAGGACCUCUCCGAGCCGUUCGAUACCAAACGAGGUUUCAGACAAGGUGACUCACUAUCGUGCGACUUCUUUAACCUGAUGCUGGAAAAAAUUAUAAGAGCUGCAGAGCUUAACCGAGAAGGUUCAAUCUUCUACAAGAGUGUACUGCUCCUGGCGUACGCCGAUGAUAUAUUGAUAUCAACGGAAGCAACAACCGCGCCGUUUGUUCUGCUUUUUCCCGCAUGGAUAAGGAGGCGAAGCGAAUGGGGCUGUAAAGCGAAUGGGUCUGGAUGUGAAUGAGGACAAGACGAAAUAUCUCCUGUCAUCAAGCAAACAGUCGGCGCAUUCGCGUCUUGGCUCCCUCGUCACUGAUGACAGUCAUAACUUCGAGGUCGUAGAUAAUUUCGUAUACCUGGGAACCAGCAUCAACAACACGAACAAUGUCAACCUUGAAAUCCAACGCAGAAUAACUCUUGCCAACAGGUGCUACUUUGGACUGAGUAGGCAAUUGAACAGUAAAGUCCUCUCUCGACAAACCAAAAUCAAGCUCUACAAGUCGCUUAUCAUUCCCGUCCUGCUUUACGGUGCAGAAGCUUGGACGAUGUCAACAUCAGAUGAGACGACACUAGGAGUUUUCGAGAGGAAAAUUUUGCGCAAGAUUUAUGGUCCUCAGAACAUUGGCAACGGCGAAUACCGCAGAUGAUGGAACGAUGAGCUGUACGAGUUAUACGACGACAUUGACAUAGUUCAGCGAAUAAAAAUACAGCGGCUACGCUGGCUAGGUCAUGUUGUCCGAAUGGACGAAAACACUCCAGCCCUGAAAGUGUUCGAUGCAGUACCCACCGGAGGAAGCCGAGGAAGGGGAAGGCCUCCACUCCGUUGGAGGGACCAGGUGGAGAGCGACCUGGUUACACUUGGGAUCUCCAACUGGCGGCGAACUGCGAAAGAGAGAGAGAGGUGGCGCACUAUCGUCGAUUCGGCUAUAACCGGCUAAACGGUUGCAACGCCAAUCACAUACAUACAUUAUAAGACGAUCUUCGUCCCCCUACAAUAACCCCAUUUGGGUCGUGGACAAGAAGAGUAUUGAUUAGUUUGGCAAUAAAAAAAGCGUCUGGUGGUAGAUUUUCGCAAACUGAACGAAAAUACCAUUGACGACAAAUACCCAAUACCAAAUAUCAUUUCGAUUUUAUCAAAUAUGGGACAUGCACAAUACUUCACAACCCUUGAUUUGAAGUCUGGAUUUCACCAGGUCGAGCUCGCUGAGCGAGACAGGGAAAAAACAGCCUUUUCCGUUAGCAACGGAAAGUAUGAAUUUUGUAGGCUACCUUUCGGAUUAAAAAACGCUCCGAGUAUUUUUCAAAGAGCCAUAGACGACAUCUUAAGGGAAAAGAUAGGAAAAAGCUGCUUUGUUUAUGUAGAUGAUAUUAUUUCUUCCGAAUCUAAGGAACAACACAUUAAAGACAUAGACUGGGUCUUGAAGAGUCUACAUGACGCUAACAUGAGGGUGUCAGUCGACAAGUCCACAUUUUUCAAAACUGAAACAGAGUAUCUCGGAUUUAUGGUAUUAUGGGGUGGCAUUAAGACGUGCCCAGAUAAAGUUAGCACAAUGCUAAACUUCCCAACCCCCGAAACCUUGUACGGGCUCAGGAUUAGCAAGCUACUAUAGAUGCUUCGUGAAAGACUUUGCCAUUAAGCCAAACCACUGACUGAUAUUUUGAAAAUGGGGAAAAUGGUUAAAAAAAGUUAGCGCUUACAGAUCCAAAAGGGUGAAAAUACUUUUAAAUUCAAAGCAACUGCAAGCAUUUGAGAAACUUAAACACAUUUUAGUAUCGGAAGACGUAAUGCUCGCUUACCCCGAUUUUAAAAAAGCAUUUGAUUUAACUACGGAUGCGUCCAACCGUGGCCUGGGAGCCGUUCUUUCUCAGGAAGGCAGACCAAUAACUAUGAUUUCCAGAACCCUAAAAGACAAUGAACUUCACUUUGCCACUAAUGAAAGGGAACUUUUGGCCAUAGUCUGGGCAUUAAAAAACCUUCGUAACUAUCUUUAUGGUGUACGCCAAUUGAAUAUUUUUACUGACCAUCAACCGCUAACGUUUGCGGUGUCUGACAGAAAUCCAAAUGCAAAGAUUAAACGUUGGAAAGCAUUUAUCGAAGCACAUAAUGCGAAGCUUUAUUAUAAGCCUGGGAAAGAAAACUACGUUGCCGAUGCUCUUUCGCGACAGCAAGUUAAUAUCAUGGACGAAAAUAUGAACUCAGAUUCAGCCACGAUUCACAGCGAAAGAUCGUUAACGUACACCAUAGAGGUAGUUGAAAAACCGGUUAAUUGUUUUAGGAAUCAAAUAAUUAUUGAAGAAAGUGAGUUUCCAAAAAAACGAACUUUCAUUAUUUUUGGGAAUAAAACUAGACUUUUGUGACAGAAGCAUGCUCUUAGGAAUUAUUCAGGACAUUAUGAAUACUAAUGUAGUUAAUGCAAUUCAUUGAAAUUUAUCCAUACUAGCCUACAUUCAACAUGACUUGGUGCAAAUGUUUCCAAGUGCAAAAAUUAGACACACUAAAACAUAUGUAACACCGUGCACACCGUACAGCACAAGAAAAUGUUAAGCAAAUCUUGAGGGACUAAUGUUUCCCAAAGAUGGAAAAGAAAGCCAAAGAGGUUGUAGGAUCUGCUCUAAAUCGAAGUACAAUAGGCAGCAUCGGAAACAUAGAAUAGCAGAUGCACCCAUUCCACUAUACUCAGGAGAGAUCCUGCAUAUUGACAUUUUUUCUACCGACUCAAAGUAUUUCUUGACUUGUGUAGACAAGUUCUCAAAAUUCGCAGUCGUUCAGACCAUAGCGUCGAGAACAAUUUUGGACAUAAAGCCCCAAUUAAUACAAAUUUUGAACAUUUUUCCAAAAGCAAAAAUUAUUUAUUGUGACAACGCAAAAACGCUGAAUUCAAACACUGUCAGACAACUUCUUUCCAAUAAUUUUGAUAUUAACAUCAUCAAUGCUCCACCUUUGCAUAGCUGCUCCAAUGGUCAGGUGGAGAGAAUCUAAUCUUGUUGUCAACAAUUGAAUGUAACAAAACAAUACAUUCUGUUACUAAAAUGAGGCCAGUAGACGUAUUUAGAUCCACCAUUGAUGAACCGAAUAAUGAAGUAUCUGAACGUAUUAGAUGUGCGCAACAGAAAGAGCUCUCAAGUCACAACAAAAACAGAACCGAGCGUGUUUUUAAAGAAGGAGAUAAAGUUAUGGUAAAAAGAAAUACUAGACUAGGUAAUAAGUUAACACCACUGUAUGAGGAACAUACAAUUGAAAAAGACCUAGGGAGUACAGUUUUAAUUAAGGGGAGGGUGGUCCAUAAAGACAAUUUAAAGUAAAUACUAGUCUGACCCCAUUUCUUCUUUGAUAUUCAAAUAACAGAAACCUAGGCUUAUUACAAAAAAUUAAAUUUUGCUACAUCGAAUUUCAUGGUGACUAGAUAACUGAGCAUCUCACGAAUAUUAAUUUCCACAUGUAAAACUUUUGUACUUUGAAAUUUUUGUUAACUAUAAUGAAAUGGCUAUAAUCGCUUAAAGCGGUUCCUACGCCAAAUAUAUAUAUGGAAAUAUACGUUAAGUUAUAACGAUAGUUAGUAGAUUUAAGAAAAACCGACUUGGCAACCAUGUAAUUGCAACUUGUUCCCAAAUACCAGUAUAUUGGGGCUCUCAUGGAUUUAUCAUACCGCUGUUAAACUGCUGUAAAAUUUCUCAAUGCUCGACCACUCAUAAUCGUCGUUCUCUCUAUCUCAGUCAUUAACUUGUAACUCAUUCCUGUUCCAAUAUAUGUAUGGGUCUGCGGAACUAAUGCCAAAAGUAAAAUUACUCAACCAUAACCAUAAAAAAUUAUAACUCAACCUAUUCUAUGUGCAACAAUGUAAUUGGUCAGAAGUUUAUGCAAUAAUAUCGUUGUGAUAACCUAUCAAAUCAUACAAAUGAAAUUAAUUUAGGCAUUAUUGUUGAGGAUUGUGGACGUACCUCAUUUAGAAGGGGAGGAGUUAAGCAGUAAUAACUGCUGAUCACCCACGUAAAAGCAUUACCGAAAGCUGUUAGGCAAGUGAGCACCGAACGCUGUGCGAGCGAUCACUGUAGUUAACAGCUACUACUUUACAUCCCAGUAGUUGUAAAGCAAGUGCGAAACAAUUACCGUGAGAGCGAUCAUUGGAUAACAACAUAACAUUAACUUAGCCAAUAGUUCGAAAACAAGCAUGGGCGAACUAAUGUGAGAGCGAUCAGUGCAUUUAGCAGCAACGACUCCAAUACAAGUUGAAACGAAUAACUGAGCAGCUAACAGCGAGAAGUGACAGAGAGCGAGGUUCAGUUUGUUCCAAUUAGAACUAACAGCAGUGUGGCCGGUUGCAAAUAGACCUUUGGGCAGGACACGUUGGUUGCUAAAGGAAAAUAAUAUUUAAGAUCUUUUUGUAAAAAUAAUUUAAUUUAAUAAAGUUGAUAUUUAAAAAAGUAA